rnacentral:rRNA from 1 species
GGGGGGAGCAAGCGUUGUUCGGAUUUACUGGGCGUAAAGGGCGCGUAGGCGGCCAGCACAAGUCAGUUGUGAAAUCUCCGAGCUUAACUCGGAAAGGUCAACUGAUACUGUGCGGCUAGAGUGCAGAAGGGGCAACUGGAAUUCUCGGUGUAGCGGUGAAAUGCGUAGAUAUCGAGAGGAACACCUGCGGCGAAGGCGGGUUGCUGGGCUGACACUGACGCUGAGGCGCGAAAGCUAGGGGAGCGAACGGGAUUAGAUACCCCGGUAGUCCUAGCCUUAAACGAUGAAUGCUUGGUGUCUGGGGUUAUAAAGUCCCUGGGUGCCGUCGCUAACGCUCUAAGCAUUCCGCCUGGGGAGUACGGUCGCAAGACUG